CUGGCGCUGAGUGCCCUGAACCUGGCAGAGUGUGCAGGGGAUGCCGUGUCUGUGGCGACGCUGGCCGAGAUCUAUGUGGCGGCUGCAUUGAGAGUGAAGACCAGUCUCCCACGGGCCUUGCAUUUUCUGACACGCUUCUUCCUGAGCAGUGCCCGCCAGGCCUGCCUGGCACAGAGUGGCUCAGUGCCUCCUGCCAUGCAGUGGCUCUGCCACCCCGUGGGCCACCGUUUCUUCGUGGAUGGGGACUGGUCCGUGCUCAGUACCCCAUGGGAGAGCCUGUACAGCUUGGCCGGGAACCCAGGUGCUCUCUUACCCCUUCCCUGUCCCCUCUCCUGUCCCUCAUCCUCAUUCCUGUCCUGUCCCUUGUCGCCUGAAUCUCUGGCUGUCUCUGGCCACCCCAGUCCUUCUCCCUGCCAUGGGUUGUUGCUGUGGGGGUUGCAGGAAGGGAAAGGCCUGGGUGCCUCUCGUUCCCAUUGGGGCUUUCAGAAGCACAUGCAGGGAUUGAUGGGCAGAUGGCUAAUUGGAGAAGUGACCCCAGGCAGUGCCGCUGUGGAGUAAGGAAGC
rnacentral:lncRNA from 10 species